UCCGGUUUGUCACCGGCGGUCCCCUUAGAGUUCCCAACUGAAUGCUGGCAACUAAGGGCAAGGGUUGCGCUCGUUGCGGGACUUAACCCAACAUCUCACGACACGAGCUGACGACGGCCAUGCAGCACCUGUGUCCAGGUUCCCUUUCGGGCACCCCUGCAUCUCUGCAGGGUUCCUGGCAUGUCAAGGGUAGGUAAGGUUCUGCGCGUUGCAUCGAAUUAAACCACAUACUCCACCGCUUGUGCGGGCCCCCGUCAAUUCCUUUGAGUUUCAGUCUUGCGACCGUACUCCCCAGGCGGCGAACUUAACGCGUUAGCUUCGACACUGAGAGCCUAGUUGCUCCCAACGUCCAGUUCGCAUCGUUUAGGGCGUGGACUAC
rnacentral:misc_RNA from 1 species